rfam:Dipodomys ordii contig_39885, whole genome shotgun sequence.
GGUGGCUCAGUGGUAGAGUGCUUGCCUAGCAUGCAUGAGACCCUGGGUUCAAUUCCUCAGCACCA